GAUGAACGCUAGCGGCAGGCCUAACACAUGCAAGUCGAGGGAUAAGCCUUCGGGCUGCAACCGGCGCACGGGUGCGUAACGCGUAUACAAUCUGCCUUUCACAUAGGGAUAGCCCGGAGAAAUUUGGAUUAAUACCUAAUGGUAUAUAAGAGUGGCAUCAUUUUUAUAUUAAAGCUUUGGUGGUGAAAGAUGAGUAUGCGUUCUAUUAGCUAGUUGGAGAGGUAGCGGCUCCCCAAGGCGACGAUAGAUAGGGGUUCUGAGAGGGAUGUCCCCCACACUGGUACUGAGAUACGGACCAGACUCCUACGGGAGGCAGCAGUGAGGAAUAUUGGACAAUGGUCGGAAGACUGAUCCAGCCAUGCCGCGUGCAGGACGACGGUCCUAUGGAUGGUAAACUGCUUUUGGAAGGGAAGAAUAAGGAGUACGUGUACUUUGAUGACGGUACCUUACGAAUAAGCAUCGGCUAACUCCGUG
rnacentral:rRNA from 1 species